GUCGAAAAAGCCAAACCACGAGUAAUCGUGGGGCGGAAAACCACGGGUCCCAAAAGAAACCAAAAUUUUGUUUCUUACCUUUAGCCAGUGGCUAUGGGUGAUCUUAAGUGGAUUUGCUAAUGCAAAUCCCUGGGAUAGCCGAGUUGCCGAAG
rnacentral:ncRNA from 1 species